UUAAAAAAGGUGAAGAAAAAAAGAGCUGCGAGAGAGAGAGAGAGGUGAGUCAGAGAACGAAAAGACGACUGUUUCUGCUCGAUCUAAUCCCGACUCAGCGCGAAGUGGAGAGAGAAGGGGUGGAGGAGGAGGAGGAAGAAGAAGAAGAGGGGGAAGCGCGAAGCAAAGAGAAGAAGCGCUCAAACAACCGAGGGAGAGAACAAUCGGAGCUCCGCUCGCCGCCGGCGAAGGCGCCUCGGAGUAGAAUCGAGGCGGUGGAUCCGGCUGCUGCGAGUUUGCGGUGAGGUCAUCUCGAAUCCCCCCUCCCCUCUUCUUCUGCAUGCGUUCUCGUUCCCCCCCAGGAUUGGGUUCUCUUUCCUAUUCGUGUUAUCCGUCUUUCUCUGCUUCUCUCGCCUUGAUCCGCCCGCGGAGGCAAUUGAGGCCCACUUCGCUUAAUUGUGGGUUCUCCGAUCGCGGACCGGGGAGCAGAUCGUCGCCUGCUUCUUUGGUGCGGUUCCGGGUUGCAAUGAGAGCUUCCCGAGCUGGCCGCUGCUAAAUGGGACUUGAUUCUGGUUGUUUCUCGGAUUUUAGGGUUUUCGAUCUCUGUGUGAGAAAAUUCCGGUUUCAGGUUUCCAUCUCUGUGGGCACAGAUUCCUGAUCUUGUGUUGCUUGUGGGGUUCUUCUGUGGAAGAUAAGAUUUCUGCCUGCAUUGGUGUCUCUGAGGGGGGAAUCGUGCAUAGCUUGCUCUCUCUGUAAGAGAAGGUGCAAACGCUGAUAUUGGCUAAAACCCAGAGAUAUAAUAGGAGUGGAGGAAGCUCUUAUAAUCGUUUGCUUUCAUGGUGAUUUAUAUGGCUACUGUUUGUUGAGAGUUGCCGCCGCCACCGAUGCUGCAGCGGCAACCAUCGCUGCCACCACCGAUGUUGCAGCCACAGCCACCGGUGACGAAGCAUUCCCGUACCCACCUUAGUGACUUAAAAUCACAGAUAGCAAAGCGGCUGGGCCAUGAGCGAGCAAAUAACUACUUCAGCUAUCUGAAUGGUUUACUGUCACAGAAGCUAAGCAACCGUGAGUUCAACAAGCUUUGCAUUUUGACACUCGGUCAUGAGAAUCUUCCCUUGCACAAUCAGCUGAUCCGGUCGAUCCUUCAAAAUGCCUGUCAAGAAAAGGCUCCUCCAGUCAAUUAUGGCAAAUUUGCACAAACGUCAACUGUUAUUAUGUCAAAGACAUCUCCUCAAGUAGAUGAUGGACUUGAUUUUUCACAAGCCCGGACACAGUCAGGAAAUUGGUCCAAUGGGGAUAUCUUGCCACGGUCACCGUGCAAGUUUAAGAGUGGUAUUGAUAAUCACAGUAUCUAUGACCACCCUGGUCCUCUUCGACCAAAUGGGAAGGUGGAGGUUGGUUUCCGUGAGAAUGGUGUCAUGAACUCAUGUAAUUUGAAGAGACCAUUGCAGCGACAGCAGGAUGGACCUUGCAAGCUGCCAACAAAGAGAACAAGGAUCGAGGAACCAUCACUGCAUGACCAGGGCUCUGUACAUAACAAGGUUCUUUCUGAAGCAGUUCUCCUAGAACAUGUGGAGGAUGUGGACUGUAAGGGUAGUUUAGACUCCCAUAGACAUCCGCUUCGGGCUCCACUUGGAAUUCCUUUCUCUUUGACGAGCAUUGGCAAGGCAAGAAGGACACUUCUCUCUGCUGGUACCAGUAUCAACGAUGGCUUUUGCAGGAAUUAUGAUUGUAGCGAACUGUACCAUACUGAGGUAUUGAAGAAACGAAUGGAUAAAAUGGCUCAAGCACAGGGCUUAGAAGGAGUAACAAUGGACUGUGCCAACUUGCUGAACAAUGGGUUAGAUGCUUAUUUGAAGAGGUUGAUUAAAUCAUGCGUUGAUCUAGUAGGAGCAGGAACAGAGCAUGUAUCAACAAAACGGGCAGUUCCCAGUCUUCUGCCUUAUGCAAAGCCCAUUAAUGGUGUUUGGGCAAGAAGUAACAUCCAAAGGCAAGGUAGUGUUGGACCUUUGAUAGGCACACAUAUGUUACAUUUGAAGGAUUUUAGGGUAGCAAUGGAGCUAAAUCCACAGCAACUUGGGGGCGAUUGGUCCUUGCUUCUUGAAAAAAUAUGCAUUGACUCGUUUGAGGAAUAGGAAAAAAUCCGAAGAAUCUGGCUUGCAGAAAUCAUAGCACUUGGACGGGCUUAACUUUUAAGGACUGGUCUAUUUUGGAUUUCAAUGGGCAGAUUCAAGAUCCUCAGCUAAAAGAUACACUUUGUGGGUUUCUUUUAGUAUCCACAGAGAAGAAUUCUGUUAAGUUCCUGCUACGGAACACCUCAAACAUUAACAAAUAAUAAAUGUGAGCUUGUCCAAAGGAAGAAACUCUUCUUGUUUGGCCCAUUAUUGUAGGUUAGCAUUCCUGAUGAGGCAUCUCCUUCACAGCAUCACCAUCUGAGGUGUCAAGCUUUUAUAUAAGUGACAUCAUGGAAGACUUAAAGGAAAUUCUGCAGGAAAUUUUUUCUGUAUCUUAUACAAUCAUCAUCUGUUGAUUUCUUGUUCGGAAUCUUUGGGUUACUGAUGUGCAUGAUGUUUUACAAUCUUCCUUAAUCAUAGUGGAUAAUUGAUAUUGGCUGUACGAAUAAUUUGGUGAGAAGAUUCUUAAAAUAAAGAAGGAUGGAAGCUUCCUACUUCAUCCUAAGACGCCAUGUUUCUGCCCCUUCUCCAUCCCCAUCCACGGAAGACCAAAUUCUAUAACAGAAGUUACGAAGGAGCUAGUCUGUUCUGCAUCAGGCAGUGACAGUGAGGAGAAAGCUAUGGAGCAAAGAAAUAAAAAACCAAGGUCAGUUUGUUGGGCACCAUGCCCAAAUAUGACGAAGAGCAAGGGAGUGCAGACUACAGUCCAGCGACCCUUCAUUAUCCUCUACUGCCCAAGAAUCAUCCUGAACUAUAGUCUUCAGUUUCUCCAAAUGCCAAAAUGAUGCAUCCUAUUUGCAUGUUGAUUGUUGCUUCUCACCGAAAUAUGUUCUGCUAUGCUGUUCUCGUUUAAUGUACUUAUUUGGAGGCAUAUACAUUAGGUUUUUGCUUGGA